rnacentral:snRNA from 1 species
AAUCUUGCGCAGUGGCAAUAUCGUAACCAAUGAAGGUCUCCUGAGGUGCGAUUAUUGCUAGUUGAAAUUCUAGUAAUUAUUCUUAGUUUUAUUUCAAUUUAUUUUUGGUCGAUUCUGCAUUGU